rnacentral:rRNA from 1 species
UACGAAGGGGGCUAGCGUUGCUCGGAAUCACUGGGCGUAAAGCGCACGUAGGCGGAUUGCUAAGUCAGGGGUGAAAUCCUGGAGCUCAACUCCAGAACUGCCUUUGAUACUGGCGAUCUUGAGUCCGGGAGAGGUGAGUGGAACUGCGAGUGUAGAGGUGAAAUUCGUAGAUAUUCGCAAGAACACCAGUGGCGAAGGCGGCUCACUGGCCCGGUACUGACGCUGAGGUGCCGAAAGCGUGGGGAGCAAACAGG